AUUGAACGCUGGCGGCAUGCUUUACACAUGCAAGUCGGACGGCAGCACAGAGAAGCUUGCUUCUUGGGUGGCGAGUGGCGAACGGGUGAGUAAUAUAUCGCAACGUACCGAGUAAUGGGGGAUAACUAAUCGAAAGAUUAGCUAAUACCGCAUAUUCUCUGAGGAGGAAAGCAGGGGACCUUCGGGCCUUGCGUUAUUCGAGCGGCCGAUAUCUGAUUAGCUAGUUGGUGGGGUAAAGGGCUACCAAGGCGACGAUCAGUAGCGGGUCUGAGAGGAUGGUACGCCGCACUGGGACUGAGACGCGGCCCAGACUCCUGCGGGAGGCAGCAGUGUGGAAUGUUGGGCAAUGGGCGCAAGCCUGAUCCAGCCAUGCCGAGUGUCUGAAGAAGGCCUUCGGGUUGUAAAGAACGUUUGUCAGGGAAGAAAAGGCUGUUGCUAAUACCGACAGCUGAUGACGGUACCUGAAGAAUAAGCACCGGCUAACUACGUG
rnacentral:rRNA from 1 species